CUCUCAUAGUGACAGACCAUCUGUGGACCGGCUGGUUGAACACUACUUUCUUUGGAUGCUCAUACCUCUGACCAGGUGCUGCUCUGAACAAACCCAGAUAUCUGCGAGGGUUUUUUUCCCCAUUCAAUUACUUAUUUAUGUUUCAAAGUGAAGAAGGAAAGAUGAAUCUGCUGAAUCUGAAAGAUGAAUCUGGGACCUACCAUUAUGUUUCAAAAGCAGCAGUUAAAAAUCAUGAAGUUGCCAGCCUGCUUCAUAGAGCACGCUGCUCAAACAGUGCAGCAAAUGAAGGGCACGUCUGCAGGUCCUCUGAGAACGAUUCAGAAGGACGACUGCUUUCCCCGUGUCACCCCUGACAGCCCUGACAAUGGGGCUCAGAUGCCCUCAGGCACAAAAAUUGGCAUUAGAUGCCAGCCUCUCUUGUGAUGUGUAGAAGUGGAAUACUACUGGAGAACCCUUCUAUGAUGAGUUUCAAGAUCUCCUUGUGCAGU
ensembl:lncRNA